rnacentral:rRNA from 1 species
AGUAACACGUGGGUACCUACCCCGAGGUGAGGAAUACCCCCGAGAAAUCGGGGACAAGUCCGCAUAGGCUCGAGCAAUCGAGCAAAGGUUCUCUUGUGAAAGAGAGACGCCUGGGGAUGGGCCUGCGGCUGAUUAGCUAGUUGGUGGGGUAAAAGCCUACCAAGGCGACGAUCAGUAGCUGGUCUGAGAGGAUGGUCAGCCACACUGGGAUUGAGAACGGCCCAG